rnacentral:lncRNA from 10 species
UAGUAGGUCAGCUGAAGUUAAAAGUAGUCUUAAUGGUGGCUAUAAAAAUUCUGGAGACAGAAUUAGAACUCAUCCCUCCUACCACCCACACAGUUUAAAUGGGUCUGGUUUGGCAAGAAAAUUCUUCGCACUGCCAUGUUUUAGGUGACAAAAGUAUACAUUUUUAAGGCUAAAGUUUCCCCUCAAGUUACAUAAGAGGCCAGAAAUGAAACAUAAGAACCAGCGUUCUUUAUCAUUUUUCACAUCAUGGUCCCCUUUGAGUCUCUUAAAUGCUAUGCAUCCUCUCCUCCAAAAAAGUACACAUAUGCACAGACACACAAAAUAUUACAUACAACUUCAGAGGAUUCACAGACCUCCCCUUUACUCUACUUGGGUUGAGGGAAGUUCUCAUAUGACA